AUACGGAGGGUGCAAGCGUUACUCGGAAUCACUGGGCGUAAAGCGCGCGCAGGCGGUCUUUUAAGUUGGAUGUGAAAGCCUACGGCUCAACCGUAGAACUGCAUCCAAAACUAUUAGACUAGAGUGUGGGAGAGGAAGAUGGAAUUAGUUGUGUAGGGGUAAAAUCCGUAGAGAUAACUAGGAAUACCAAAAGCGAAGGCAAUCUUCUGGAACACUACUGACGCUGAGGCGCGAAAGCGUGGGGAGCAAACAGAAUUAGAUACCCUAGUAGUCC
rnacentral:rRNA from 1 species